UGGGGGAAUAUUGCACAAUGGGCGCAAGCCUGAUGCAGCCAUGCCGCGUGUGUGAAGAAGGCCUUCGGGUUGUAAAGCACUUUCAGCGAGGAGGAAGGUGGUGAACUUAAUACGUUCAUCAAUUGACGUUACUCGCAGAAGAAGCACCGGCUAACUCCGUGCCAAGCAGCCGCGGUAAUACGGAGGGUGCAAGCGUUAAUCGGAAUUACUGGGCGUAAAGCGCACGCAGGCGGUUUGUUAAGUCAGAUGUGAAAUCCCCGGGCUCAACCUGGGAACUGCAUUUGAAACUGGCAAGCUAGAGUCUCGUAGAGGGGGGUAGAAUUCCAGGUGUAGCGGUGAAAUGCGUAGAGAUCUGGAGGAAUACCGGUGGCGAAGGCGGCCCCCUGGACGAAGACUGACGCUCAGGUGCGAAAGCGUGGGGAGCAAACAGAUUAGAUACCCUGGUAGUCCACGCUGUAAACGAUGUCGAUUUUGGAGGUUGUG
rnacentral:rRNA from 1 species